GCCGGGGUGGCGGAAUCGGCAGACGCAGCGGACUUAAAAUCCGCCGGAGCAAUCCUUGUGGGUUCGACCCCCACCCCCGGCACCA
rnacentral:tRNA from 12 species